rnacentral:rRNA from 1 species
UGGGGAAUAUUGCACAAUGGGGGAAACCCUGAUGCAGCGACGCCGCGUGAGCGAAGAAGGUUUUCGAAUCGUAAAGCUCUGUCCUAUGAGAAGAUAAUGACGGUAUCAUAGGAGGAAGCCCCGGCUAAAUACGUGCCAGCAGCCGCGGUAAUACGUAUGGGGCGAGCGUUGUCCGGAAUUAUUGGGCGUAAAGGGUACGUAGGCGGUCUAUUAAGUCAGGUGUGAAAGCGUGAGGCUUAACCUCAUUAAGCACUUGAAACUGAUAGACUUGAGUGAAGGAGAGGAAAGUGGAAUUCCUAGUGAAGCGGUGAAAUGCGUAGAUAUUAGGAGGAAUACCGGUGGCGAAGGCGACUUUCUGGACUUUUACUGACGCUCAGGUAUGAAAGCGUGGGGAGCAAACAGG